rnacentral:rRNA from 2 species
GUUGGUGCUGAUUAGGGCGAGGGUCCACCCGUUCCCAUUCCGAACACGGUAGUUAAGCUCGUCUCUGCCGACAAUACUUGGCUGGCGACGGCCUGGAAAAAUAGGUAGUGCCAACA